GGAGAAAACCUUCAGAUCGAAAGACCUUGUGCUUUUAGAGCGGCCGAUGCCUGAUUAGCUAGUUGGUAAGGUAAAGGCUUACCAAGGCAACGAUCAGUAGCUGGUCUGAGAGGACGACCAGCCACACUGGGACUGAGACACGGCCCAGACCCCUACGGGAGGCAGCAGUGGGGAAUUUUGGACAAUGGGCGCAAGCCUGAUCCAGCCAUGCCGCGUGAGUGAAGAAGGCCUUCGGGUUGUAAAGCUCUUUCGGUCGGGAAGAAAUAGUUGUGGCUAAUAUCCAUAACGAAUGACGGUACCGACAUAAGAAGCACCGGCUAACUACGUGCCCGCAGCCGCGGUAACACGUAGGGUGCAAGCGUUAAUCGGAAUUAUUGGGCGUAAAGGGUGCGCAGGCGGAUGUAUAAGUCAGAUGUGAAAUCCCCGGGCUUAACCUGGGAAUUGCGUUUGAAACUACAAGGCUAG
rnacentral:rRNA from 1 species